rnacentral:rRNA from 1 species
UGGCGGACGGGUGAGUAAUGUCUGGGAAACUGCCCGAUGGAGGGGGAUAACUACUGGAAACGGUAGCUAAUACCGCAUAACGUCGCAAGACCAAAGAGGGGGACCUCCGGGCCUCGCGCCAUCAGAUGAACCCAUAUGGGAUUAGCUAGUAGGUAAGGUAACGGCUUACCUAGGCGACGAUCCCUAGCUGGUCCGAGAGGAUGAUCAGCCACACUGGGACUGAGACACGGCCCAG